GGGGACCACAGUCCGAACAUUUUGGAGGCUUGUGUGGGUAUGGCUUCACAGUAGGAGAAGAUAAGACAGAACCAUCAGGAGAUAACACAUACAUGUCCUCUGGUACCAUUCGCUCCUUCUGAACACCAGAGGGGGACAUGACGACGAGCUGAUUCUGCUUGGGAAUAGCAUCAUCAUGGACUUUGAUGGUGAUACUACCGCCGGUUCCAGAGACCCAUCCAAGCCCAUAAAAAUGGCGGCACAGCUCUGAAAGUAGAGCCUUAGUUUCAUGGACCCCCUUGCUCUCCAAGAAAUCAGGGGAUAUCUUAGCCCUCUUCUCUCCGUUCACACCCACAUCUGAUGCCGUUGCCAUUGGAAGCUG
rnacentral:misc_RNA from 1 species